rnacentral:rRNA from 1 species
CCUACGGGUGGCUGCAGUGGGGAAUAUUGGACAAUGGGCGAAAGCCUGAUCCAGCCAUGCCGCGUGUGUGAAGAAGGCCUUCGGGUUGUAAAGCACUUUCAGUGGGGAAGAAAGCCUUGGGGCUAAUACCCUCGAGGAAGGACAUCACCCACAGAAGAAGCACCGGCUAACAUCCGUGCCAGCAGCCGCGGUAAUACGGAGGGUGCGAGCGUUAAUCGGAAUUACUGGGCGUAAAGCGCGCGUAGGCGGUCUGAUAAGCCGGUUGUGAAAGCCCCGGGCUCAACCUGGGAACGGCAUCCGGAACUGUCAGGCUAGAGUGCAGAAGAGGAAGGUAGAAUUCCCGGUGUAGCGGUGAAAUGCGUAGAGAUCGGGAGGAAUACCAGUGGCGAAGGCGGCCUUCUGGACUGACACUGACGCUGAGGUGCGAAAGCGUGGGUAGCAAACAGGAUUAGAUACCCGAGUAGUC